AGUGAACGCUGGCGGUAGGCCUAACACAUGCAAGUCGAACGGUAACAGGGAGAAGCUUGCUUCUUUGCUGACGAGUGGCGGACGGGUGAGUAAUAUCUGGGAAUCUGCCUGGUGGAGGGGGAUAACUACGGGAAACGUAAGCUAAUACCGCAUAACGUCUCAGGACCAAAGAGGGGGACCGUCAGACCUCUUGCCAUCGGAUGUGCCGAGAUGGGAUUAGCCAGUUGGUGGGGUAACGGCCCACCUAGGCGACGAUCCGUAGCUGGUCUGAGAGGAUGACCAGCCACACUGGAACUGAGACACGGUCCAGACUCCUACGGGAGGCAGCAGUGGGGAAUAUUGGACAAUGGGCGCAAGCCUGAUGCAGCCAUGCCGCGUGUAUGAAGAAGGCCUUCGGGUUGUAAAGCCCUUUCAGUGGGGAAGAAGGCAGUCAGGCUAAUACCCUUGCUGAAUGACGGUACCCGAAGAAGAAGCACCGGCUAACUUCGUG
rnacentral:rRNA from 1 species